AUUGAACGCUGGCGGCAUGCUUUACACAUGCAAGUCGAACGAGUGGCGACGGGGUGAGUAAUAUAUGGGAACGUACCGAGUAAUGGGGAAUAACCAUUCGAAAGAUUGCCUAAAACCGCAUAUAAUUCGAGUGGCCGAUAACGGAUUAGCUAGUUGGGGGGGUAAAGGCCUACCAAGGCGACGAUCCGUAGCGGGUCUGAGAGGACGAUCCGCCACACUGGGACUGAGACACGGCCCAGACUCCUAAGGGAGGCAGCAGUGGGGAAUUUUGGACAAUGGGGGCAACCCUGAUUCAGCCAUGCCGCGUUUAUGAAGAAGGCCUUCGGGUUGUAAAGUACUUUUGUUAGGGAAGCGGUACCUAAAGAAUAAGCACCGGCUAACUACGUACCAGCAGCCGCGGUAAUAC
rnacentral:rRNA from 1 species